UGAAGAAGCAGAGAUCUCAGGAGGGAUCUGGGCCAGAGGGAAAACAGAGAUAGGGAGAAAUGAGACCAGUGUUGGCCUGGCAAUGCCUUGAUGCUUAACUGAGAUCAGCCAGGAAUGUGUUGGAAAUAGUUAAGGAGGUAACAAAGGCAUGGAGAAAAUAAAAUGAAAAUUUACAGUUUGUUAAUAAUACAUUGGCUGAUUGUAAGCUGUUAUUCUACAAGAAGAUAAAGCAUUUAAAGUUUCAAUAAGUUAAACUUGUUAAUCUGAUCAUCAUUUUUGAUUCAUCUUCUGAGGCUGAAUCCAGCUACAUUUCCAAAAGGGAGACAACGGAUGAGCACCAAGAAAUCAGGAGAUCCUGGCCCUGGGACAGGGGCAGGGAGGAAGCGAGUUCCUCUGUUCAUCGUUUGUAGUAAGAUUGGGGAAAAUGAGGAAGACAAGUGGGUGUCUACACAACCUAGAAAGCCAACGAGACAAAUACACCUUUGGUCGGGGAGAGAUGCUGCCCAACCUGCUGAGUGUUUCCAGCAUUUUCUGUUUGUAUAACCUGCCAAGCAGCAAUUCUUUGGGAUGUGGGAGGAAACUGGAGCAGCCAGGGGAAACCCACUCCCAAGGAGAACGUGCAAAC